rnacentral:rRNA from 1 species
GGAUGCGAUCAUACCAGCACUAAAGCACCGGAUCCCAUCAGAACUCUGAAGUUAAGCGUGCUUGGGCGAGAGUAGUACUAGGAUGGGUGACCUCCUGGGAAGUCCUUGUGUUGCAUUUC